rnacentral:pre_miRNA from 1 species
GUGGACGGGUCUGGUCUAGUGCAUGUAAUUUUUGAACGUGACUAGAUCCAUACUCGUCUAUU